GAGUGUAGUUUAAUGGUAGAACCUCAGCCUUCCAAGCUGAUGACGACGGUUCGAUCCCGUUCAC
rnacentral:tRNA from 1 species